UGCAAGUCGAACGGUAGCACAGAGAGCUUGCUCUCGGGUGACGAGUGGCGGACGGGUGAGUAAUGUCUGGGAAACUGCCUGAUGGAGGGGGAUAACUACUGGAAACGGUAGCUAAUACCGCAUAACGUCGCAAGACCAAAGAGGGGGACCUUCGGGCCUCUUGCCAUCAGAUGUGCCCAGAUGGGAUUAGCUAGUAGGUGGGGUAACGGCUCACCUAGGCGACGAUCCCUAGCUGGUCUGAGAGGAUGACCAGCCACACUGGAACUGAGACACGGUCCAGACUCCUACGGGAGGCAGCAGUGGGGAAUAUUGCACAAUGGGCGCAAGCCUGAUGCAGCCAUGCCGCGUGUAUGAAGAAGGCUUUCGGGUUGUAAAGUACUUUCAGCGGGGAGGAAGGUGUUGUGGUUAAUAACCACAGCAAUUGACGUUACCCGCAGAAGAAGCACCGGCUAACUCCGUGCCAGCAGCCGCGGUAAUACGGAGGGUGCAAGCGUUAAUCGGAAUUACUGGGCGUAAAGCGCACGCAGGCGGUCUGUCAAGUCGGAUGUGAAAUCCCCGGGCUCAACCUGGGAACUGCAUUCGAAACUGGCAGGCUAGAGUCUUGUAGAGGGGGGUAGAAUUCCAGGUGUAGCGGUGAAAUGCGUAGAGAUCUGGAGGAAUACCGGUGGCGAAGGCGGCCCCCUGGACAAAGACUGACGCUCAGGUG
rnacentral:rRNA from 1 species